rnacentral:lncRNA from 1 species
UUUUCAAAACCCUAGUUCACAAGAAAAACUGUAAAUUGAAGGCCUAAAUCAAGCAAUAAUCGAAAUCUGAACAUGGAAUCGUGAUCACCUCGUCAAGGGGAUCAUAAGAGCUUGAUUAUGUGUAGUAAACAUGAAAUUGGAAGUAAUGCAAGGAAUCCAGAACGUCAAGUGGACACGCCGGAAGUGAUACCCGCGGAAAAGGUGUGCUUUAAAGGUACGUGA